ensembl:lncRNA
CAUGCACUUCCUUCCGCCCCAGCGGUGAUGCAGAGUGAAGUGUCCCGGCGGCCCCUCUGCAGGAGACUGGGCUGCAGACCCCAGGUUCCCUCUUCCAGGCUCAGGGCCCCAGGACUGGCUGAGCAGCGCUCCCUUGGUGCAGGUCGGUUUGGCUUCAGGACCUCUCCUCCCGGUGCUGUGCCUUCAGGCUUCUAAUUCUCCUAGUCCCAGGGGUACCAUCAGUGGCCGCCUCAACUUUCCGUCAGGUGAGGUGCUUCUGGGCAACACGGUGUGUGAUGAAAGCAGCUAAUUCCAUGGGCGCCAGGCCAUGACCACUCUUCUGAUGUGCAGCAUCCCUUGAUCAGAGCCUGUGUUGUGUGGAAUAAAGACAAAGACACUUGCCUAUGAGUCCAUACAGCUCCCUGCUCCUGGCCAUCUCUAGUUCAGACGAAACGGACAAACAAAUGUGCCUCUCAGCAUUUGGCCCACCAGGGAGAUUUCUUCUACCACUGUCCAGAGCCACUCUGGAGUGGAGCUCUAGGGCUACAGCUGUC